GCCAGGCACUGUGGCAUGUGCCUGUAGUCCUAGUUACCCAGGUGGCUGAGGCAGGAGGAUCACUUGAUCCCAGGGAGUUCUGAGCUAUAAUGCGCUAUGCCAAUUGGGCGUCCACACUAAGUUCGGCAUCAAUAUGGUGACCUCCUGUAGUGAGGGACCACUAGGUUGCCUAAAGAGGGGUGAGCAAGCUCAGGUCAGAAACGGAGCAGGUCAAAACUCCCAUCUGAUCAAUAGCGGGAUUGCCUCUUUAUCCACUCCACUCAAGCCUGGGCAACAUAGUGAGAGCUCUUCUCU
rnacentral:SRP_RNA from 1 species